CCUACAUGUGCCCACUCGCCUGCCUGCCUGCCUUUUGUUUUCAGGUCGGGGAUAUUUAACAUUGUAUUGUUUGUCGGGUCCCCUUGUUCGCAAAUCAUGUUUAGGCUUGGUUGGAAGAGUGUGCUUGUCCCAUUCUAGAUAUGGUAAAACUGAGGCUUGCGCAUUAGUCUGUGGAUAGGUAUUGGUGCCUCUUUUAGAUGUGAUAUUGGAAACAGUGGCGUACAUACGGGGGUCGAAGGGGUCGCGGCAGAGACCGGGCCUGGCCCACCAGGGGGCCCGGCCGCCCUGCGACCUGGUAUGCCCGCCAGUGUGGCCAGCCUCUUCUCCUGGGGGGCCCAGGAGCUGGUCACCUCAGGGCACUCCCCCCGAGGCUGGC